GACGAACGCUGGCGGCGUGCUUAACACAUGCAAGUCGAACGGAAAGGCCCUGCUUUUGUGGGGUGCUCGAGUGGCGAACGGGUGAGUAACACGUGAGUAACCUGCCCUUGACUUCGGGAUAACUUCAGGAAACUGGGGCUAAUACCGGAUAGGAGCUCCUGCUGCAUGGUGGGGGUUGGAAAGUUUCGGCGGUUGGGGAUGGACUCGCGGCUUAUCAGCUUGUUGGUGGGGUAGUGGCUUACCAAGGCUUUGACGGGUAGCCGGCCUGAGAGGGUGACCGGCCACAUUGGGACUGAGAUACGGCCCAGACUCCUACGGGAGGCAGCAGUGGGGAAUAUUGCACAAUGGGCGGAAGUCUGAUGCAGCAACGCCGCGUGCGGGAUGACGGCCUUCGGGUUGUAAACCGCUUUCGCCUGUGACGAAGCGUGAGUGACGGUAAUGGGUAAAGAAGCACCGGCUAACUACGUG
rnacentral:rRNA from 1 species